UACGUAGGUGGCAAGCGUUGUCCGGAUUUAUUGGGUUUAAAGGGUGCGUAGGCGGUCCCAUAAGUCAGUGCUGAAAUAUCCCGGCUUAACCGGGAGGGUGGCAUUGAUACUGCGGGACUUGAGUGGAGUUGAAGUGGGCGGAAUUGACGGUGUAGCGGUGAAAUGCUUAGAUAUCGUCAAGAACACCGAUAGUGAAGACAGCUCACUAAGCUCAAACUGACGCUGAGGCACGAAAGUGUGGGGAUCAAACAGGA
rnacentral:rRNA from 1 species